AUUGAACGCUGGCGGCAGGCCUAACACAUGCAAGUCGAACGGUAACAGGAAGAAGCUUGCUUCUUUGCUGACGAGUGGCGGACGGGUGAGUAAUGUCUGGGAAACUGCCUGAUGGAGGGGGAUAACUACUGGAAACGGUAGCUAAUACCGCAUAACGUCGCAAGACCAAAGAGGGGGACCUUCGGGCCUCUUGCCAUCGGAUGUGCCCAGAUGGGAUUAGCUAGUAGGUGGGGUAACGGCUCACCUAAGCGACGAUCCCUAGCUGGUCUGAGAGGAUGACCAGCCACACUGGAACUGAGACACGGUCCAGACUCCUACGGGAGGCAGCAGUGGGGAAUAUUGCACAAUGGGCGCAAGCCUGAUGCAGCCAUGCCGCGUGUAUGAAGAAGGCCUUCGGGUUGUAAAGUACUUUCAGCGGGGAGGAAGGGAGUAAAGUUAAUACCUUUGCUCAUUGACGUACCCGCA
rnacentral:rRNA from 1 species